CGCGCGGGGAGCGCGGCGGGCAUGGCGCGCGACGUGCUGGAGAGGGCGCGGCGGCGCGCGGCGGGCGCGGUCCCGGUCCCGGUCCCGGUCAGUGCCGUGCGCGCACCCGCGGACACGCAUACACAGAUACAGAUAGAGAUGGAGAUGCACGGAGAUACAUCUCCGUACGGGCCGCGGACCCGCCCGGACACUCACACACAGAUACAGAUAGCGACGGAGAUGCACAGAGAUAGCUACAUCUCCGACCGAGACCGGGAGCGCCUCAAUGCAGCGUUCGCUUCGAUUGUGAAUUUGAUGAGAGGGGUCUCAGAGGAAUGCGAGAAGUGCUAUGGGUUUAUGGCAGCCAACAAGUGCAAAGAGAAUGAAAUCAAACACUUCUGCAAAUACCAUGGCAAGUCAGUAGAAAGAAAGAUGGAUUCCAUAGAAGAAGAGGGGACUGAAGGUCCUGUAGAAGCCAGGCAAGCUGAAACUUACCAGCAAAGGCCCAGAAGACCUUACAAAGAUUUAUACAUUGAAGUUUCUCCUGGCAUCUAUUCUGUCACAGCAAUCUCAGAAGACAUGGUGGAACACACCCACGUAGUAGAUGUCAGUGCAGGACAAAGUGUUAAUUUAACUUUUGUUCUGUGAUGUUUGCUGUUUCCUGGCAAUAGCAGGAAUAAAACAUGAGGCUCUUUUUAAUGUGUGUAAUGA
rnacentral:lncRNA from 1 species